GAUGAAGAACGUAGCGAAAUGCGAUAAGUAAUGUGAAUUGCAGAAUUCAGUGAACCAUCGAAUCUUUGAACGCACAUUGCGCCCGGCAGUAAUCUGCCGGGCAUGCCUGUCCGAGCGUCAUUUCUGCCCUCGAGCGAGUCCAGCAUCUAGGUGCUGGGCCCGCCCGGCGUUGGGGCACUACGGGAAGCCCUGUGCUGUCCCCCGCAGGCCCCGAAAUGAAGUGGCGGUCCUGCCGCGGCGCCCCCUGCGUAGUAUAACAGCUCGCUUCGGGACCCGGUGGAGGCCUGCCGUCAAACCUUACUCUCUAAGUUUGACCUCGGAUCAGGUAGGGUUACCCGCUGAACUUAAGCAUAUCAAUAAGCGGAGGA
rnacentral:misc_RNA from 1 species